GCCCCCUAUGAUUUCUAUUUCAUUCAUUUUGAAAUUAAAUUACUUUUAAAUCUCAAAAUUUUUCUAUUUAAAAUCAUCUAUUAAGUAAGAAUUAAUAUUUGAUUAAUAUUUGAUUAAUUUGAUUUUGGGACAUUUCAUUACGAUUUUAAUAUUAAAAGGUGAGCAAAUAUCUUCUUUCUUUCUGAGAUAUUCGUUUCUUAAAAAAAACGACAAUUAAAAAAAUUCUACAAAACAAAAGAAUAAUACUCAAUUUAGUAAUCAAUCUUUAAGAAAACAAUAUAUAUUGUUUUUUAUGGAAUGGACAGAAAAAAGUCUAGGCAAGUACAAUACUACUUAUUGAAUCAUUGAAAAGAAAAUAAAGGAGCAAAACCUCUCUUGGUAGACCAAGAAAGAGUUUAUUGCUCCUUAUAUUAUUCUAUUUUCGAAACCUCCUAUACACUAAGACCAAGUCUUAUCC
rnacentral:misc_RNA from 1 species